rnacentral:lncRNA from 1 species
GGGGCAAAACAAAUUGCUUGGCGCCCGCUUUGAUGGAGUCUACUUGGGAGCAGUGUUUCUAGGUUUUGGUGGCUGAAAAUAUAUGGUUACACUCAUUCUCUGAUAUUGAUAUGAUUAACUGCUUGUGAGUUCAUGAUGGAAAGCUCAUGGAGGAGACAAUUUUGAAAAGGUUUGUAGAUAUUAAACAGGUUGAGCUCUAGGGUUCUCGUGCAUUCAAGGGGAUAAAAAUGAAUAGAGUUGUCUGUCAUGCACAUCUUGUUGGGGGUAAUUGAAAAAAUAUGUAUGGUAGCUAGAUAAAAACUAUUGCAUCAGUUUGCGUCCAAAAUUUGAUGACUGUACUGUGGUUACAUAAGAGAAUGCCCUUAUUCUUAAGAAAUACUUAGGAAAUAAUAAGAGGUAAAGAGAAAUAUAAAAGAAUAACUCUUUAAAUGGUGCAGAAAAAAUAAAGAACAUAGACAUGCACGAUAGAAUGAUUUUUAAAAGUAUAGUUUAAAAUGUUUAAAAUUUAGUUUAAAAAUUUAUUUUACUUAGUAAGUAAAAUAUAUAUAGGCAUUUCAUAUAUUAUUAUUGUAAUUUUUCUAAAAAUUUGAAAUUACUACAGUUGAAAGAUUUUCUUAAAUAUAUGAGAGUUCCCAUCGUGGCGCAGUGGAAACAAAUCCAAAUAGGAACCAUGAGGUUGCGGGUUUGAUCCCUGGCCUCGCUCAGUGGGUUAAGGAUCUGGAUCUGCCGUGUGGGUCACAGAUGCGGCUUGGAUCUGGCGUUGCUGUGGCUGUGGUGUAGGCUUGCAGCCAUAGCUCCGAUUGGACCCCUAGCCACAUAUGCCGAGGGUGCGGCCCUAAAAAGCAAAAAAAAAAAAAAUUUUCUUAAAUAUAUGAUCAAAGAUUUUAAUAAUUUAGACUUUUCUUUGUCCAGUUCGUUUGAAUUGCUAAGAAAUGGCUCUAAUCUGUUAAGUAACACCCUGAAGGGGGGCUGCAAAAAACUCCCAUGCUGAUGCCACAUAGUCCCUAUGGGUGAAUCACAUACCAGAAAUAUCUGUUGUGUAAUUCUACUGGGCCUCCUGCCUUCUAUAAAUUUGAGGGCAUCUAUCCGAGAAGAAAAGCAGAACUUUCCUGCUACUUAAGUCUGGAAUGAAAGAGAGCAAAUCAAGUGGAAAUGUCAAUGGGGAAGUCCAGGUCAACUAUAAUUCCCAUUAUGACUAAGUGGCAUAAAGACUCAGAGUACAGUGACCGAGAGCUGACCUCGGGAGAACUCACAGUCAGAUCAGGAUUGCUCAUUUCCAGGAUUCUUUAUAAGAUUGACUCUGCCCUUUGUAAAUCUUACUAUUUACAAUGAACACAAACCUAGGUCACUACAUACAUUUCAUUCUUCCAGAUAAAUAUGCAGCACAGCAUGUUUCUCAGGUCUGCAUAAGUGUUUAUAUAUUCUUAAGAAAUGUAAGUUCAGAUAGAGAAACAACUUACCAAGUACAAAGAGAAGGUACAUGAUCAUUUUAUUUAUUUAUUUAUUAGUUUUUUGUCUUUUUGCCUUUUCUAGGGCUGCUUCUGCGGCAUACGGAGGUUCCCAGGCUAGGGGUCGAAUCAAAGCUGUAGCUGCCGGCCUACGCCAGAGCCACAGCAAUGAGGGAUCUGAGCCUCGGCUGCAACUUACACACAGCUCAUGGCAACACCGGAUCCCUAACCCACUGAGCAAGGCCAGGGAUCGAACCCGCAACCUCACGGUUCCUAGUUGGAUUCGUCAACCACUGCGCCACGACAGGAACUCCUACAUGAUCAUUUUAAAUAUGAGUGUCAGACUAAAAAUCUUGUAUGUUCAUUAGCUGCCUUGGAUUUCUUAGCUCUGGAAAAUAGCGUAUUCUUCAAAGGCUACCAAUUUUCAUUAACUGGGAAGUAGAAACAACAUUGAUUUCCUUCAAACCUGUUCAAAAGGCAGGCAUACUUUGAAGUGAAAAAAAGAAAUAUUAGAAGAUGUCUGACAUUCUUCUCAUAGCCCCUGGGCUCCCUAAUAUUUUAUACUACAGCAUUAUUCACAGUAAAAAAAAAAAAAA